rnacentral:rRNA from 1 species
UGGGGAAUAUUGCACAAUGGGCGCAAGCCUGAUGCAGCAACGCCGCGUGAGGGACGACGGCCUUCGGGUUGUAAACCUCUUUUAGUAGGGAAGAAGCGAAAGUGACGGUACCUGCAGAAAAAGCACCGGCUAACUACGUGCCAGCAGCCGCGGUAAUACGUAGGGUGCGAGCGUUGUCCGGAAUUAUUGGGCGUAAAGAGCUCGUAGGCGGUCUGUCGCGUCUGCUGUGAAAACCCGAGGCUCAACCUCGGGCCUGCAGUGGGUACGGGCAGACUAGAGUGCGGUAGGGGAGAAUGGAAUUCCUGGUGUAGCGGUGGAAUGCGCAGAUAUCAGGAGGAACACCGAUGGCGAAGGCAGUUCUCUGGGCCGUAACUGACGCUGAGGAGCGAAAGCGUGGGGAGCGAACAGGAUUAGAUACCCUGGUAGUCCACGCCGUAAACGUUGGGCGCUAGAUGUGGGGACCAUUCCACGGUUUCCGUGUCGCAGCUAACGCAUUAAGCGCCCCGCCUGGGGAGUACGGCCGCAAGGCUAAAACUCAAAGGAAUU